UGGGGAAUAUUGCACAAUGGGGGGAACCCUGAUGCAGCGACGCCGCGUGGGUGAGGAAGUACUUCGGUAUGUAAAGCCCUAUCAGCAGGGAAGAAAAUGACGGUACCUGACUAAGAAGCCCCGGCUAACUACGUGCCAGCAGCCGCGGUAAUACGUAGGGGGCAAGCGUUAUCCGGAUUUACUGGGUGUAAAGGGAGCGUAGACGGCGUGCCAAGUCUGAUGUGAAAGGCCGGGGCUCAACCCCGGGACUGCAUUGGAAACUGGCAUGCUGGAGUGCCGGAGGGGCAAGCGGAAUUCCUAGUG
rnacentral:rRNA from 1 species